AUACUCUGGUUUCUCUUCAGAUCGCAUAAAUCUUUCACCUUUUACUAGGGAUUUCUGUGGAGAGGUCUCUUCAUUAAUAGUAGCUGGAACCAAUAGUAGUUGGAACAAAGGCAACCUUUGU